rnacentral:rRNA from 1 species
GAUGAACGCUGGCGGCGUGCCUAAUACAUGCAAGUAGAACGCUGAAGCUUGGUGCUCGCACUGUGCGGUUGAGCUGCGAACGGGUGAGUAACGCGUAGGUAACCUUCCUCUUUGCGGUGGAUAACUAUUGGAAACGAUAUCUAAUACCGCAUCAAAGUCGCUAUCGCAUGAUAUUGAUUUGAAAGGUGCAAAUGCAUCACUCAGAGAUGGACCUGCGUUGUCUUAGCUAGUUGGUGAGGUAACGGCUCACCAAGGCGACGAUACAUAGCCGACCUGAGAGGGUGAUCGGCCACACUGGGACUGAGACACGGCCCAGGCUUCUUCGGGAGGCAGCAGUAGGGGAUCUUCGGACAUGGGGGCAACCCUGACCGAGCUACGCCGCGGGAGUGAAGAAGGGUUUCGGAUCGGAAAGAUCCGUUGUAAGGGAAGAAAGAGUGUGAGAGUGGAAAGUUCACACUGUGACGGUAACUUAACAGAAAGGGACGGCUAACUACGUG